rnacentral:rRNA from 1 species
GAUGAACGCUGGCGGCGUGCUUAACACAUGCAAGUCGAACGAACUGAGGAGAGCUUGCUCUCCAAAGUUAGUGGCGGACGGGUGAGUAACGCGUGGGUAACCUGCCCUAUGCAGGGGGAUAACGUUUGGAAACGAACGCUAAUACCGCAUAAACUAUGGAUAGUCGCAUGACUAUUAUAGCAAAGAUUUAUCGGCAUAGGAUGGACCCGCGUUGGAUUAGCUAGUUGGUGAGAUAACAGCCCACCAAGGCGACGAUCCAUAGCCGGCCUGAGAGGGUGAACGGCCACAUUGGGACUGAGACACGGCCCAAACUCCUACGGGAGGCAG